rnacentral:rRNA from 1 species
AACGAACGCUGGCGGCAUGCCUAACACAUGCAAGUCGAACGAGACCUUCGGGUCUAGUGGCGCACGGGUGCGUAACGCGUGGGAACCUGCCCUUAGGUUUGGAAUAACUCCCCGAAAGGGGUGCUAAUACCGGAUAAUGUCUUCGGACCAAAGAUUUAUCGCCUUUGGAUGGGCCCGCGUUGGAUUAGCUAGUUGGUAGGGUAAAAGCCUACCAAGGCGACGAUCCAUAGCUGGUCUGAGAGGAUGAUCAGCCACACUGGGACUGAGACACGGCCCAGACUCCUACGGGAGGCAGCAGUGGGGAAUAUUGGACAAUGGGCGAAAGCCUGAUCCAGCAAUGCCGCGUGAGUGAUGAAGGCCUUAGGGUUGUAAAGCUCUUUUACCCGGGAUGAUAAUGACAGCACCGGGAGAAUAAGCACCGGCUAACUCCGUG